CCUGGCAGCUGUCAGCCUGCACGUACGCGUGGAUCUGCGUGGAGUCCACACUUCGAACGGCGAAGGCAUCGGCCAGGGCUGGCAUCAGAGCAAGGCCAAGC
rnacentral:SRP_RNA from 14 species